AUUGAACGCUGGCGGCAUGCCUUACACAUGCAAGUCGAACGGCAGCGGACCUUCGGGUGCCGGCGAGUGGCGAACGGGUGAGUAAUGCAUCGGAACGUGCCAUUGAGUGGGGGAUAACGUAGCGAAAGUUGCGCUAAUACCGCAUAUUCUGUGAGCAGGAAAGCAGGGGACCGCAAGGCCUUGCGCUCUUUGAGCGGCCGAUGUCAGAUUAGCUAGUUGGUGAGGUAACGGCUUACCAAGGCGACGAUCUGUAGCGGGUCUGAGAGGAUGAUCCGCCACACUGGAACUGAGACACGGUCCAGACUCCUACGGGAGGCAGCAGUGGGGAAUUUUGGACAAUGGGGGCAACCCUGAUCCAGCCAUGCCGCGUGAGUGAAGAAGGCCU
rnacentral:rRNA from 1 species